AACGCAAAUUGCGCUCGAGGCUUCGGCCAAGAGCAUGUCUGCCUCAGCGUCGGGUUAAUACUCACUCUUGCUUCUCGCGAGCAGUAGUGGAUCUGGCUGUCUCGGUUUUAAAAAUUAAAACAUUUAAACCCGGGUCAGCUGAAGUUUUUAGAUGUCAAACCAUGGACCGCCGUUUUAAAAGACGGGGGCCUCUACUGGGUAGGCGAAUUUAUUUGCUAAAAUGCUUUAGUAGAUGGCUUUUAGGUUUUGUGUUUGGCACAAAGCAGGAAUAUUUGUUCGCAAGUAUUAAACCCUUUAUUUUCUCGACCUGAGCUCAGGCAAGAUUACCCGCUGAACUUAA
rnacentral:misc_RNA from 1 species